rnacentral:tRNA from 1 species
GGAAAGAUGGCCGAGCGGUUCAAGGCGUAGCAUUGGAACUGCUAUGUAAGCUUAUGUUUACCGAGGGUUCGAAUCCCUCUCUUUCCG